CGUCCUGGGAGCUUGCCUCCGCCAGCAGGACCACGCGCUGCUGCAGCAAGUUCACCAGGUCCUGCAGGCGAGACACAUGGAUACACUGACACAUUCUCACACAUACAGAUAGGUUUUUUUCGUGGAGUUCUUCCUUAUCCGAUGCGAGGAUCAGAGGACAGAAGGUGUCGCAUGCUGUACCAAUUGUAAAGCCCUCUGAGGCAAAUUUGUGAUUUGUGAAAUUGGGCUAAAUAAAAAAUGGACUUGACUUCAA